rnacentral:rRNA from 1 species
UACGAAGGGGGCUAGCGUUGUUCGGAAUUACUGGGCGUAAAGCGCGUGUAGGCGGGUCUUUAAGUCAGGGGUGAAAUGCCAAGGCUCAACCUUGGAACUGCCUUUGAUACUGGAGAUCUUGAGUCCGGGAGAGGUGAGUGGAAUUGCGAGUGUAGAGGUGAAAUUCGUAGAUAUUCGCAAGAACACCAGUGGCGAAGGCGGAUCACUGGCCCGGAACUGACGCUGAGACGCGAAAGCGUGGGGAGCAAACAGG